rnacentral:rRNA from 1 species
AGCACCUCGAGUGGUCAGGAGGUUUAUUGGGCCUAAAGCAUCCGUAGCCGGUUGUUUAAAGUUUCCGGUUAAAUCUAUACGCUUAACGUAUAGGCUGCCGAAAAUACUGGACAGCUAGGGAGUGGGAGAGGUACACGGUACUCAAUAGGAAGGGGUAAAAUCCUUUGAUCUGUUGAUGACCACCUGUGGCGAAGGCGGUGUACCAGAACACGUUCGACGGUGAGGGAUGAAAGCUGGGGGAGCAAACC